rnacentral:SRP_RNA from 1 species
CACGUAGGUAGGGCCGGGAGGGUCGCCGCCUCCCUUCGCCGAGGGCGUAAAGCGGGGCCAGUAACUCCGUACGGCCGAUACCACCCCCACAUACCGCCCCAGCUACCGCAAUGAAGCCCGCCCCGUGGGGUCGGCGGUGGCGGAGGACCUCCCGGAGGGGAGGCUCCUACCGCCUUUGCGGGGGGAACCUGGCUAGGCCCGGAAGGGAGCAACCUAACCCCCGACGCCGACGUUCACGGGUCACCGGGCAGAGUAUGGGGUUGGGGUACGGGUGUGGGGGCUGGGUCGGUCGUACGGAGGUCUACGUG